GAUCCUGGCUCAGAUUGAACGCUGGCGGCAUGCCUUACACAUGCAAGUCGAACGGCAGCGGACCUUCGGGUGCCGGCGAGUGGCGAACGGGUGAGUAAUAUAUCGGAACGUGCCCAGUCGUGGGGGAUAACGUAGUGAAAAUUACGCUAAUACCGCAUACGAUCUAAGGAUGAAAGCGGGGGAUCGCAAGACCUCGCGCGAUUGGAGCGGCCGAUAUCAGAUUAGGUAGUUGGUGAGGUAAAGGCUCACCAAGCCAACGAUCUGUAGCUGGUCUGAGAGGACGACCAGCCACACUGGAACUGAGACACGGUCCAGACUCCUACGGGAGGCAGCAGUGGGGAAUUUUGGACAAUGGACGCAAGUCUGAUCCAGCCAUUCCGCGUGCAGGACGAAGGCCUUCGGGUUGUAAACUGCUUUUGUACAGAACGAAAAGGUCUCUAUUAAUACUAGGGGCUCAUGACGGUACUGUAAGAAUAAGCACCGGCUAACUACGUG
rnacentral:rRNA from 1 species